CGUAAGUGACAUUUUUGGCGAAAAUCAUGUUUUUUCAUUAAACUAACGCUAUUAGUGUUUAGAAGGUACUGCCAAAAUGUAGUAAGCCUAGAAUUACUUUAAACCUUUUUUUUUAAUCUUUUAAAAACGUAUGUCCAGAAUUGUUUUAAUCAUACCCGCAAAAGAAACGCAACUUUAGCACUAUUUCCAUAAUAAUAACGUAAGCAAACGUCGUUUACCGCCAUAAUAACGUAAGUACCGGUCGGAUUCUGUUACUUACGUCAGAUUUUCGCAGUCAGUGUUUGGCUUACGACAGUGACAGAUUCGUGCUACAAUCGACUAAAUUAUUGAUUUUAGGUCGAAAGCGACAAGAAAAGGUCGUUUGUGAACCUGAAAACAUUUAUAAGCAACUGCUUCCAAUAUCCGAAUU
rnacentral:lncRNA from 1 species